AUGUACAUUCCUACAACAUAGCAUUAAUGCACCAGAUCCCAUUAGAACUCCACAGUUAAGAAUGCUCGGGUUAGAGUAGUACUGGGAUGGGUGACCACCCGAUAAGUCCUAGUUUUUUACAUG
rnacentral:rRNA from 1 species